GUGGUGUGGUGAACACACACACACACACACACACACACACACACACACACACACACACACUUUGGUGUGGACAUAUAUCAAACUCAACUGGGAAACCAAUGAGAAUAAGGAAGAGAGCCAUCUCCCACAGCCUUGUACCCUUCAGAUCAGUAAAACUGAUGAAAAAAAAAAAAGGAGAAUGACUGAUUUUGCAGAGGCUGAUGGAAAAACAAGGACCCUGAUCUACUGUUGGUGGAGAUGCAAAUCGGUCCAACUUUCAUUUCUGUUAUUUCCCUGAAUUAGGGGCACUCACCACAGCCAUUUGCAUGAGGGCUAUGCAUGACCUUCUGAGAAGUCAAAACGUUAGAAGAACCACUCACGAGACAUCAUCAUUUGAGCUUGGGAAGGAACUAGCCCUAAAGGAGUAAUCUGCUUUCCCUAGCCCAGCAAUGGACCAGCUCUAUGAUGCUGCCAUGUCCUGAAGAGAGCAGCUCCAUCCAUCAGCUGUGCUGCCUUCAGAAGUGAACUUGGUGGACAAAGUCUUUGUACCAAAUUCUUUAAGUUUGAGCCCACUUUCUCUGGGGACCAAUGAAGUGGCAGAGAGAGUGUGCUCUGGUUCAGGGAGGGGUUUUACACUUUGGUUCUUGCUAUAGCUUUCCAGUAAAUCUCCCUUUGCAAAAGCAAAUUGAUCUUCCUUGGAGUGGUAACCACUGGAAAUUAAUAUUAGGAGAAAACUCAAGACAAUAGCUUUAGAGAAGACGCCGUAGUCUCCUGGAGUUUAACACUCCAAGGGAGAAAUAGACACAGCUUCCUUCUGGGCACUUGUGGGAGUUGGGAUGAUAAUACCCAGAAUCCAUAAACACUGGAAGUAUAAGCUGGUCUUCUAUAGUAUAAAGAUGAAGGGACGAAGAAAGGAUACUGAGGAAGAAGAAGAUCAAGCCUGGCUUGGCUGAGGGUGACUGAGAAGAAAGAGGAAGAGGAGGAAGCUCAGAGCUGAGCCCCAGAGAGGCUGUCUCUAUUCUCUACAAACAUGGUGCCCUAUGGCUUGUGCAGCUGUCCCACAGGAUUUACUUCCUUUUUUUGAAAUUUAAUGUAUUUUAUGCUGAACUUAAGAAGUAAAACAAUCAU